rnacentral:rRNA from 1 species
UACAGAGGUCUCAAGCGUUGUUCGGAUUCAUUGGGCGUAAAGGGUGCGUAGGUGGCGCGGUAAGUCGGGUGUGAAAUUUCGGAGCUUAACUCCGAAACUGCAUUCGAUACUGCCGUGCUUGAGGACUGGAGAGGAGACUGGAAUUUACGGUGUAGCAGUGAAAUGCGUAGAUAUCGAGAGGAACACCUGCGGCGAAGGCGGGUUGCUGGGCUGACACUGACGCUGAACUGCGAAAGCUAGGGGAGCGAACGGG